GGGGUUGUGGCUCAGCGGUAGAGCGCUCGCCUUACAAGCACGAGGCCCUGGGUUUGAUCCUCAGCACCA
rnacentral:tRNA from 1 species